GACUUCACACACAGGAACUACGGCAGCAGGACUAGGGACCGCAGUGCUACAACCGGAUUUUGCAUUAGGGAGAGAUGGGACCCGACGUAAUACAGAAAGGAAAAGUGGGACUUUACAGCCAAGGAGUUGGGUAGGGGUCGGGGGUCAGUGAACGGAAAAUUCCUGAGAGGAAACAUCAGAGGUGAGGAGGGAUUUCUGGCUAAACCAACCUAACCCAACAAGACUCUUGCUGGAGGCAGGCAGGUGGUCAGACGUCGCGUAGGGGAUGGAGGGAGAGGAAGCCCCUGAGCAGACACGGAGGGUGAGCAGAUAUCGAGGAUGCGGGAUUCCAGCUAAACCGACUCCGCAAGAUUCUUGCUAAACCUGGGCAAGGCAGAGGCAGAGAUGGAAGCACAAACGUCAGAGCCUGGUGGAGAAGAGUGUUCAGAGAAGCCUGACCAAAGCUUGGUCGAGGAGAGACUGUUGGCAGACAGAAGGCUAUUUUAAACAGUCCUAGUGGGAGUUAACCAGGGUUCCAAGCAGGAUGGAGAAACAAGAGCGGAAAGGAAAGAAGCACCUAAGACAAACACGGAAGGUAUGGUGGAUUUUUUGAAUGGAAAGGAAUUCUCAAUUAUAAAAUGAGGUUCUUCUUCUACAUGAAGAGUGAAUACUUCAUGCAACCAUGAAUUUUUGUCUGUUUACUCCACUGUUGUAUCCUCAAUGCCUAAAGCAAUGCCCACCUGACAGUAGGUGCUAAAUAAAUAUUUGUGUGAUGAGCAAUCUAGGAAGAUUCUCGGGUUCUGACUCACCCUAAUGCAGAAGUAAUGAGUUCAUUCACAACGAUGUAUACUACAGAAGCAAGAAAAGAUCUGGGGAAAAUGAUGUCAACUUGCAAAUGUAAAACUGAGGUAUUCAUGGUACCUUCAAGGGCAGAUGUUCAGUAAGUAGUUGUAAUAGACGAGUUCAUGGGCUAAAGAUAAAAAUUUAGUGACCACCGACAUUUAGGUGAUAGUCAAAGCCAUUGAUGUCAACAAAAUGACUCAAAGAAAGCUGACUAAGAGGGAAAAUGCCAAAUAAGCUACAAGAAAGCCACCAUUUCAGGGAUGGGCAGGGGAAGACGAUGCUAUUAAGGAUAUUAAUACUGGGUAGGUAAAAAGAUGGAGGAAAAGUCAGUUUAAUGUUGUCUCAAAAGCCAAAAGAAAUGAAAAAUUUAAAAAAGAGAAAUAGUCAACAUCUAGCAUGAAGCACAGACACUAAGUAAAAUCAGGGCUGAAUCAUACAUAGCUUCUGGACACA